UUGUGUUAACAUUAUUUAAAUAAAAAAUACACAUUAUCUCGAAUACGUUUAGAAAUAACUGUUCUGCUGAUGUUUCUUUUAGGAUUAAGGAUGCUCAUUAAAGUGAAGUUCAACCAUGAACAAAAGUUUGUUAAAGUUUCUGGCGCCGACCUGAAACUCUCUGAUUUUCUGGAUGAAGCCUUUGUGAAAUUCUGAAUUCCCGCCUCCAAACGCGCAGAGACCAGGCUCUACGAUUCGUCUUACACAGAAGUUGAUGAGGAUGUUUUCGAGGAGGUUAUAAAGCAGCCAAAUUUAGGCGUUUUUAUUCUUCGAUUCGAAAACUCGUCACACGAUUUGGCCCAGGUCCCUUCUGUGACAAGUGAAGAAAGCUCAUUGCAGAAUGCAAACUAUGAAUCUGAUGACACCAGUAUUCUAAGUGAUGGAAGUCCUUCAAGAAAGCAACAGAGGGUUGAAGACGAAGCCAGAAUUCACAUCUCCACCCAGAAAUAUUAGGGAAAUGUAUGCCCAAGGAAUCGUUGCCCUGUUUCCAUAUCUUC